UGAUUGCAUUUAAUUUAAUGUAGUUACUACUUGGUAGUUUAAAUUUCGAGGUAGAAUUAUGAUGAUGACAUUAUCUAUCUAUUAGUCUUGACCAAAUUACGUGCCAGCUGUCGCGGUAAUACGUAGAAGACAAGUGUUAUUCAUCUUUAUUAGGUUUAAAGAGUACCAAGACGGUUAAUAAAGCCCAAAAGAAAUGAAUACGGGGGACACAUUAACUAGAGUUAUAUGAAAGGAAGAGGAACUGUUGAGUGUAGAGAUGAAAUUUAAUUAUACCAGAAGAUAGGCACAGAUUUAUGCGAAGGCAUCUUCUUAUGUAAUAACUGACGUUGUAGGACGAAGGCUUAGGAAGUGAACAGGAUUUGGUACCCCCGUAAUCUAGGCAGAAAAUGAUGAAUGUCAUAGGUUGAAUACAGACAGGUUAAAUUGACUAUCUAAUAGUAAAUAGGUGGUAUAUUAAUCAGUCUAUUAUUGUGUCUAUAAAUGAAAGUGUAAGCAUUCCACCUCAAGAGUAAUUUGGCAACAUUGGAACUGAAAUCAUUAGACCGUUUCUGAAACCAGUAGUGAAGUAUGUUGUUUAAUUAGAUGAUACACAAAAACCUUACCACAAUUUGAAUAUAUAUAAAUUAUAUUUACAAGCGCUGCACGGCUGUCUACAGUUAAUGUCGUGAGACUUUGGUUAGCUCCAUUAAA
rnacentral:rRNA from 1 species